rnacentral:rRNA from 1 species
UACGAAGGGGGCUAGCGUCGUUCGGAAUUACUGGGCGUAAAGCGUGCGCAGGCGGCUUCUCAAGUCAGGGGUGAAAGCCCAGAGCUCAACUCUGGAAUUGCCUUUGAGACUGAGUGGCUUGAGUACGAGAGAGGUGAGUGGAAUUCCCAGUGUAGAGGUGAAAUUCGUAGAUAUUGGGAAGAACACCGGUGGCGAAGGCGGCUCACUGGCUCGUAACUGACGCUCAUGCACGACAGCGUGGGGAUCAAACAGG